UCGAGCGCGGGAAGCAAGCGGAUCCCCUUCGGGGGUGAAGCUUGUGGAACGAGCGGCGGACGGGUGAGUAACACGUGGGCAACCUGCCUGUAAGACCGGAAUAACCCCGGGAAACCGGGGCUAAUGCCGGGUAACACCUACCUUCACCUGAAGGAAGGUUAAAAGAUGGCUUCUCGCUAUCACUUACAGAUGGGCCCGCGGCGCAUUAGCUAGUUGGUGAGGUAAUAGCUCACCAAGGCGACGAUGCGUAGCCGACCUGAGAGGGUGAUCGGCCACACUGGGACUGAGACACGGCCCAGACUCCUACGGGAGGCAGCAGUAGGGAAUCUUCCGCAAUGGACGAAAGUCUGACGGAGCAACGCCGCGUGAACGAUGAAGGUCUUCGGAUCGUAAAGUUCUGUUGUUAGGGAAGAACAAGUACCGUGCGAAUAGAGCGGUACCUUGACGGUACCUAACGAGGAAGCCCCGGCUAACUACGUGCCAGCAGCCGCGGUAAUACGUAGGGGGCAAGCGUUGUCCGGAAUUAUUGGGCGUAAAGCGCGCGCAGGUGGUUUCUUAAGUCUGAUGUGAAAGCCCACGGCUCAACCGUGGAGGGUCAUUGGAAACUGGGGAACUUGAGGACAGAAGAGGAGAGUGGAAUUCCACGUGUAGCGGUGAAAUGCGUAGAUAUGUGGAGGAACACCAGUGGCGAAGGCGACUCUCUGGUCUGUUUCUGACGCUGAGGUGCGAAAGCGUGGGUAGCAAACAGGAUUAGAUACCCUGGUAGUCCACGCCGUAAACGAUGAGUGCUAGGUGUUAGGGGGCUUCCACCCCUUAGUGCUGAAGUUAACGCAUUAAGCACUCCGCCUGGGGAGUACGGCCGCAAGGCUGAAACUCAAAGGAAUUGACGGGGCCCGCACAAGCGGUGGAGCAUGUGGUUUAAUUCGAAGCAACGCGAAGAACCUUACCAGGUCUUGACAUCCUUGGACCACCCUAGAGAUAGGGUUUUCCCUUCGGGGACCAAGUGACAGGUG
rnacentral:rRNA from 1 species